rnacentral:rRNA from 1 species
GAACGCUGGCGGCGUGCUUAACACAUGCAAGUCGAACGGGAUCCCGGGGGUUCGCUCCCGGGUGAGAGUGGCGAACGGGUGAGUAAUGCGUGACCGACCUGCCCCAUACACCGGAAUAGCUCCUGGAAACGGGUGGUAAUGCCGGAUGCUCCGGUUGGAUGCAUGUCCUUCCGGGAAAGGUUCCAUCGGUAUGGGAUGGGGUCGCGUCCUAUCAGCUUGAUGGCGGGGUAACGGCCCACCAUGGCUUCGACGGGUAGCCGGCCUGAGAGGGCGACCGGCCACAUUGGGACUGAGACACGGCCCAAACUCCUACGGGAGGCAGCAGUGGGGAAUAUUGCACAAUGGGCGCAAGCCUGAUGCAGCGACGCCGCGUGCGGGAUGGAGGCCUUCGGGUUGUAAACCGCUUUUGAUCGGGAGCAAGCCCUUCGGGGUGAGUGUACCUUUCGAAUAAGCACCGGCUAACUACGUGCCAGCAGCCGCGGUAAUACGUAGGGUGCAAGCGUUAUCCGGAAUUAUUGGGCGUAAAGGGCUCGUAGGCGGUUCGUCGCGUCCGGUGUGAAAGCCCAUCGCUUAACGGUGGGUCUGCGCCGGGUACGGGCGGGCUGGAGUGCGGUAGGGGAGACUGGAAUUCCCGGUGUAACGGUGGAAUGUGUAGAUAUCGGGAAGAACACCAAUGGCGAAGGCAGGUCUCUGGGCCGUCACUGACGCUGAGGAGCGAAAGCGUGGGGAGCGAACAGGAUUAGAUACCCUGGUAGUCCACGCCGUAAACGGUGGAUGCUGGAUGUGGGGCCCGUUCCACGGGUUCCGUGUCGGAGCUAACGCGUUAAGCAUCCCGCCUGGGGAGUACGGCCGCAAGGCUAAAACUCAAAGAAAUUGACGGGGGCCCGCACAAGCGGCGGAGCAUGCGGAUUAAUUCGAUGCAACGCGAAGAACCUUACCUGGGCUUGACAUGUUCCCGACAGCCGUAGAGAUAUGGCCUCCCUUCGGGGCGGGUUCACAGGUGGUGCAU